rnacentral:rRNA from 1 species
CAAUAGCGUAUAUUAAAGUUGUUGCAGUUAAAAAGCUCGUAGUUGGACCUUGGACCUGGACAGGCGGUCCGCCUCACGGCGAGUACUGUCUUGUUGGGUCUUUCCUCUUGGUGAUCUGUUGUUUCGGCAGCAGGGAACCAGGACCUUUACUUUGAAAAAAUUAGAGUGUUCAAAGCAGGCUCGACGCCGGAAUAUAUUAGCAUGGAAUAAUAAAAUAGGACGUGCGGUUCUAUUUUGUUGGUUUUUGGAAUCGCCGUAAUGAUUAAUAGGGACAGUCGGGGGCAUUAGUACUCACAUGCUAGAGGUGAAAUUCUUGGAUUUUGUGAAGACUAACUUCUGCGAAAGCAUUUGCCAAGGAUGUUUUCAUUAA